GAUUCACCAACCCAGUCAGUAAAUUUUGAGAAUUCCACAGAGGGGAAAUAAAGAAAGAAUAUAAUUCCUCAUGACCUUACCUCGAGCCCAUUCCCACCAUGAAGGAGCCAGGAUCACAGAAGAUUUGGCACCACUAGAAUAUGGGUUAUAGUUUGUGAGGAUCCCAAACUCCCUGCAGUGCUAAACUCCAUAAAUCCAGGGCAGAUGUUGCCUCGUAUUUGGACUGAACACAGAGCUACAACAUCCACACACAUCGUGGUUCCUUUGGUGGUUUUUAUUGUUAAGAGGGGUUCCCAAUGUGCUGGGAGAAAACUUCUUUCCUUUGGUCUCAUUUUGUCUUUACAAAAUUUGCCUUUUGCUGCCUCCAGUCUUGGAAACUGAAUUUUAGGUGCUGGUCAGAAAAUCUUCAUGAACAACCAAGCACAGAAAGGUAACAACCACCUCAGUUUCCAAAUAUUUCCUCAAUUCACACCAUGAAGAAAUAGAGAGAGAAAAAAAUACCUUUAUACAGGAAAUUAUUCACAGAAAUCACAAUCUAAGCAGGGGAAAUGCUAAAUUUGAGAAGUAAAUUAGUCAUUUAUAAUAUGCACUCAGAUCUAGACUGAGAUGUGCUAUUAACUCAUUUUAAGCUGCAAAACUCUGGGGACAAAAGCCACAUUUUCCAUGUUGGGGCUUGCAGAGUCAAAUUUAAACCCAUUAAUGGUACUCACCAAGCGCCAGUGGCCUCAUUGAGCAAGGCAGAGCAAAUUCCAUUUAUCCAAGGUUCUUCUUCCAGUAAGGAACAGUUAUCAGCCUACAUAAAACCUGAAUUAAAAACCUGAAUUUAAAAUAGGGUGUGUAAAAAGUAGCCAGGAGCCCUUCCCUCCCUGGAGAUCCCAGUUUUCCCAACAAACAGGCGGAUUGUGAGGAGCCAUUGUGUAUUAUUUUCUGCUGGUAAAUGACUUGGUUCCUGUGUCUGCAGCACUGCAGGGGACACUCCAGCUUGGGGACAGAUCUCCAGCUGGGCUGUCCAGCUCAGAGCCUCUCCCAGGGAGCUCAGGGAGUUCCAUUCCUUGGCACCAAAAGGAUGGGAAGGAAAGGAGCCUCUCCAACAUCAGCAGGCAGCGCCCAGCAUGAAUGAGCAUCAUUGGUGCCUGAUCCCCACUCAGACACAGAGGAAUUUCUGGAAUCCUGCAGCCAACCAAGCACUGCUCUGCCUCCUGAGAUCGGACACAAAUGUUAUUUGGAAAUAGCAAGAGUGACUUCUGCUGGCACCAACGCCUCAGAAUUUGGAUUAACUGCACUUUGGGUCAUUUUCUUAUAAGGAAAAAAAAACCCCUUGAUAUUUAAUUUAAAAAUGUUUCAAGAAUAGACGUUCAGGUAUUGAUCACUGCAGGCAUCAGAUUGCUUUUAAAAAGAGGUUUUUAUGAAUUAUCAUAAGAGCCUAAUGUCCAGCAAAGGUAGUGGUGUGAGAAUUACAUCCCCAGCUGUACCACAGACCUGUUUCCAUCAAUGACCUAAGGACUCAUUUAAAGUUACAUGAGGAAUUAAAAUGGAUUUCUAUUUUUUUUCUACAUUUUUUAGUGCAAAAAGCAGCGCAUAACUUUUUUGGAAGAGCUCCUGUCAACACUAAAGAAAAACAUUCUCCCCUUUCCAGGAGACCUUCCCACACCACUGUGCUCCUAAACUGGUGAGACACAACACACAAAGUCUUCCUUAACUCUGAAAAUAAGAAAAGUAUAAAUACAAGUAUUAUUAAUCCUGUGCUUUUAAGAUUAAUAAACCACAUGAAGCCUCUCCAAAUGGUGCCUCUAACUCAAUAAACACAGCCCACACAAGCCAGGUGAGUGUCCAAGGGUGAACCCAGCCUUGCGCUCUGCACUCAUUAAUUAAUUUUGUUCAUAACCUCAGAGGAUGACACUUCUUUAGCAGACUUGAAGCAGGGCAGUGCCUGCAUCUCCCCAGGGCCAGGAGAGGCUCCCCAUGGCCAGCAGCAGGACAGAUCACCACUGGAUCCCAUCAUUCCACAACCACAGGAAUCCAAGUUUUGUUCGCCAACCCUUCACCCUCCCAUCCUGCUCUGGACAUUUCCAUUUGAAAUCAGGAUCUGUCACUCCCCAAAACCAAGUAUUUUUCUUUUCUGUCUGAACCUGAAUGAAAAAAAAUCCUGAAUCCCCAGGUGCCUGACAUCAAAGUGGCAUAGAAGGAGCUCCUGGGAUGGUGUUGUGGCAUUAAUGCUGCUCUGGAAAGGGAGAGCAGAUGGGCAGCGAGGAAGCAAAUCCUGUUGAAAUAUGAUUAAGUGACACUGAAGAUAAGGAAAACCAUGAAAACUAAAGGGCAGGUAAAGAGAUUUUAAGUGCAAUAUAAAAGGGGAUUUGUGGCACAUGUAAUUCUACCUUUAAAUGUUUAUUAAACAUAGAUUUGGGGUUUUCACCUCUCAUUUAUAGCUACAGAUCAUUUUGUUUCUCUCUGUGCUGUCUACAGGGAUUAGCCAAAGCUGAAGGUUCUUGGUGCUUUUGUAUCUACUGGAUGUCUGUUUUAUUCUCCCUCGAAAAAUACAUUUCCAAUUACAGAUGAAAACAGGAGGCAGAAAGAGAAGAAUAAAGUAUCUCCAACAUUCCCAGAAAAAAAGCCCAUGAUUUCAUGGAAGACGAUGGUUUCACUUCAACCAUGCCCCAAAUCAAGAUUUAUCCAACUCCAUCUUUGACCAGGCAAAUCUGCUUUCUGAUCAUCUCAUUUCUUACCUGUUGUGUGCCAAAUUGAUAGAGAGCACUGAUUUGUUUCUAUUUGGCCAAACCUAUGUAUUUUCCUGUACU
rnacentral:lncRNA from 1 species